ACUUUAAAAAUAACAUUGUAGUACAAACAUUGAGUUAUUUUGCUGGCCAGGUUUUACAACCUAUCAAGUACCAUACAACGGAAUUUGAAUUAAUGAGUCACCGAUGAAUACCUCACUCCAUGGCCUGUGGAAUUUAGCACAGUGUGUCUGUGUUUGUGUUGGUUAAGAUGCCCAGUGAAAAAACAGAGGGUGUGUACCCACUGGCCCAGCUCUGCCUGCUGAGAUAGAUAAAGUUGGCUUUAGCACGGAAGCUGAGGGUGGGGGUAUCUAUUUCACACAGGAGGCUCAGAUGGCCAGACAAGACCACGCACGCAGGCCCAUCAAUGCUGCUGAAUGGAUCAACAGUUGACGUCUGUUAAGUGUGGUGGGGGACCCCCUUCAAGGUUUCAUCACUGACUCUACAGUACAGUACAUAUGUAUGUGCCCAUUGCCUAUUUAGGACUACGGUACAGAUAGAGGGUGAGUGAAGACUGCUGAGAGAUGACGGACCUGGAGGCAUCGACAGUGGGUGAACCCCCUCCUCCAUACAUGAUCUUCCUCCUGGUUUUCUUCUUCUUCAUCACGGGCCUCCUGGGUUUCCUGGUCUGCCACCUUCUGAAGAAGAAAGGCUACCGCUGCAGGACAGGGGAGGAAGAAGAUGAAGAUGAGGAGGAGUGUGAGCAGAAACUGGGACCAGACAAGAAUGCUUGGGGGCAAGCUACUUCGCCAGACAAUCUUUCAUGUAUUACAGAUGAUGAAGAAGAGGACCAUCAAGACACUGUUGAACAAAUCCUGAAGUGCAUCAUUGAAAAUGAAGCCAACAUGGAAGCCUUCAAGGAGAUGCUAGGAAAACAGGAUAUUUGUGAACACCGUGAUCCUACGUUACUGCGCAAAGAGAGCCUGGGGGGUAUUCCACCUCAUCACCACACCGUGCACUCUGGAGCCCAGCUUGACCACAAGUCCUGCACGCUCUGUGUGCAAGGGCGCUCCAAGAAGGCCCGACGCCGGAGCCGUGUACCUCGGACCAUUAAGCCGAGAACGCCGGGAGAGAGGAGAGAGUCCACUGUGUUCGCUGUGGGAAGGUUCCGAGUCACCCACAUGGACAAAAAGGAUCAGGGGUCUGGCGACCAGUUAGACCAAUCGGAGGCUCUGGAUAGUGAGAAGGGGGAUGAGGACGACCCCCAGAGGAAGGAGGGGUACAACCUGCGGAGCAUGUUCAAAGACGUCAAAACGGACAGCACCAACGGUGUGGUUCCCAUCGUGGCCAAGCGGAAGAAGAGUCUGGUUCUGUUCUCCCCACGCAGAGAUAGUGAUCCAGUGGGGGCCAAAGUGCCACUGAGCCAGCCCAUGGUAGAAGAGGAACCCCUCUUCGCUGCUCCAGUGCAGACCUCCAGCCCUGUGAAGAUCCUGUCGUCCCAGCCCAGCCUGGACUCUGGUGCACCUGACGACACUGAGAUGGCUCCUGUUAAAAUGUACCCUACUAGGGUCACUUUUGUAGUGUCCCCCACAGAGAGUCCCGUACCAGUCUCUCCCAACGCGAGUCCAAGAGGCGUCUCCCCUCUAACACCCCCAAUGCAAGAUUCCCCCACCACCACCCCAGUACAAGUCACCCCCAUGACCCCUGAGAUAUUACCCCUUACCCAAGGCUCAUAUAAUAACCCUAGUCUUAGCGCCUUAAAUGUCUCUCUUACCCCUACCCCUGUACAAGCCUCUCCAACCUCUAACCUCUUGAAUGUCUCACCUGACCUGUCCUCCAGAAAUGUGUCCCCCUCCCCUACUCAUUUAAAUGUUUCUCCUACCCCUUUCCCCAUACAAGUCUCCCCUGGCCAGUCGUCCAGAAAAGUGUUUCCUUCCUCUAGCCCGUUAAAUGUCUCUCCUGCCCCUACCCCCUUAAUGGUGUCCCCCACCACUCUACCCCGUAGCAUUCUAAAGAAUACUACUACUUUUGUCAAGGUGGACGAAACCUCACCCACCACGAAAGGGCCAGAGGACAAGUUUGAGAGCCUUGCUACUGUCAGGGCCGACAAAGUUUCUCCCACUGCUGUUCCUGUGAAAGUCUGCCCCACUGUGGACCCCAUGAAAGUCUCCCCCACCUCAACCUCCGUCAAGAUCUCCCCCACCAGCGGAGGCCCUUUAGAGGACAAGCUGGAGGUGGGGAGUGUUACCAUAGUCAAAGCCAGCCCGGACAGUCAGAUGGAGUUCUAUGUGGUGCGUACGGCUGAGUUAAUGAAGGAGGAGGAAGAGGAGGACCCUGCUGUGGCUCAGAGCCCCCCAGAGAAAGGGAAGGAUGAUGAGGUGGAGAUGGAGGACAUAAAGGACUGUCGGGUCAGCCAGGAGGAGGGUGUGUCUCUGGAGGAGAAGAGAUCAGUGCACAGUCAGCACAAGUGGUGAAAGAGAGAGAGAGAAAGAGAGAUAGAGAGAGGACACGCUGGGAUGGGGGAGGGGGAAAGACUGGCCACACCCAACUGUGACAAACGGAUAUAUUGCAAUACUACGGAGGUAAACCGAACCAAGCCAUGCCAAAACUGAACUAUACCAGACUGAGACUGGCUGUCUGGAACCAACUAGACCUUGACGGCGGGGGCGUACCAGCAAGGCUGUGAUUUAUUCAUUGAUAUAGACAAGUUGUGGUUAGCUAAACACUGGCACCUUAUAUCCAGAUGUAUUGAUCUUAAAGGCUUGCAUAAUGUGGCUAACAGCACUGCUACAGUACUACUUCUAUUAUCAACAGACAGUGCAAGCCCAGGCCUCCAUCUACAAGUGCACUUUUUUUGAAAACACUGCUCACAGACUGCAUUUUACAACAAUCAACUUUAACCCCAACAACAAUCAACUACACCACAGUGUAAAUCGACCAACAGCAAAUAACGGGGGUGUAUUUACAAGGAACGAAGUAGAAGCAAAAGGGCCGAAAUAUGGAGGGACCUACCUGAUUUUGUCCAAUGAGAAAGGUUUGUUUUUGUUUUCCGUUGCAAAGCAUUUUGCUACGGUGUGCACUAAUGAAUAUCCCCCAGAUCUGUAGUAGUGAACAGUGUUUCCCUCUAUUGUAUACACACAGUACACAUCUCACCUCUUCUCUCUCAUCGAUUCCCAUUUCUUCUCACUACACUUCAUCCUUUUAACAAAAUGCCAAUGUGAUUUUUAGGCUGUUUACACAGGCAGCCAAAUUCAGAUCUUUUGCCCAAUUAUGUGAAAAAGAUCUGAUUGGUCAAAAGGCAAAUUAGUGGCAAAAGAUCAGAAUUGGGCUGCCUGUGUAAACACAGCCUUGAUGUGAAACAUAUUCUAUGUCAAGAAGGCAUUAAGGCUGUGUAAUUCUUUUUGCACAACAUAUGUCUUUAUUGUUAUGCAGAGAAUACGGUUUUAGCCAUGCGAUGACAAUAUUCCUGAGCUUUACUUGACUUUAUGGAAAUAAUGUGCACUGUUGAAUACCUGUUUAUUUAAUCUAGAUUUGCUUCCUUAAUGUCAACAGGGAUGUAAUUGAAUAUUUGUUGAAAGUGAAGACAUCUGUGUCAAUUUACUACAGAUGCAUUGAACUUAGAAAGUGUAAGGUUUUGAUGUGACUAAAUCCUUAAUUGAAUACUUGUUUUGAAAAAAUGUAUGAUUUUUGUUUUGUCAAGGAAGCAAAUGCCAGGUUAAAGGACUGUGAUCCACUUCAGAAUGUAAAGGGUUGAUCAGAUUUGAAUGGGAUUGUUUGUGUAGCCUUGUAGAGAUAGUAUAAACAUUUAAAAUUAUAAUACGCAAUAAAGAACAGCUAACAUAA